UCAUCUGGCCAUGCCACCUUGAAUGCGCCCAAAUUCAUCUGAUCUAAGAAGCUAAGCAGGGUCCGGCCUGGUUAGUAUUUGGAUGGGAGACCACCUAGGAAGACCAGAUGCUGGAGGCA
rnacentral:rRNA from 1 species